AGGUCUGGGCAGCGUCUUCCUGAACAGCCUGAAGCAGAAGGUGGUGACCCUGGCAAGCAGCGCAGACGUGCUGAGCACCGUGCAGUCGGCCUCCCAGGCCAUGCUGCAGAGCGGCUGGUCCAUGCUGUUGCCCACCGCUGAGAAGCAGGCCCGGGCACUCUGCUCUCCUGUCCUGCGGAGUUUCAGGCAAUGAAGUGAGCAUAAGUCCAGGUCAUCGAUUGGUGAUUGAUCUUCUGGUGGGCAGCUUGAUGGCUGAUGGAGGGUUGGAGUCAGCCUUACACGCAGCCAUUACUGCAGAGAUCCAGGAUACAAAAAAAGAAGCACGGAAGGAAAAAGAAAUUUAUGAACAGGAAGCAAAUGCCUCAACAUUUCAUAGAAGGAGGACUCCAUUGGAUAAAGACCUUAUUAAUACGGGGAUCUGUGAGUCUUCUGGCAAACAGUGUUUGCCUCUGGUUCAGCUCAUACAACAGCUUCUUAGGUAAAUCAUAUUAGCUGUAUUGUAUUGUGUUUUAUUUAUUUACUUUUUUGUUUUUUGAGACAGAGUUUCGCUCUUGUUGCCCAGGCCCGAGUGCAGUGGUGCGAUCUUGACUCACUGCAACCUCCGCCUCCCAGGUUCAAGUAAUUCCUCUGCCUCAGCCUCUCGAGCAGCUGGGAUUACAGGCAUGCGCCACCAUGCCCCACUAAUUUUGUAAUUUUAUUAGAGACAGGGUUUCUUCAUGUUGGUCAGGCCGGUCUUGAACUCCCAACCUCAGGUGGUCCAUCCACUUUGGCCUAUCAAAAUGUUGGGAUUACAGGCAUUAGCCACCACGCCUGGCCUAUUUAUUUACUUAUUAAUGGUGUUUUUUUUUGUUUUUUUUUUUUUGAGAUGGAGUCUUGCUCUAUCGUCCAGGCUGGAGUGCAGUGUCACGAUCUUGGCUCACUGCAACCCCCGCCUCCUGGGUUCAAGCUAUUCUCCUGCCUCAGCCUCCCGAGUAGCUGGGACUACAGGCGUCUGCAACCACACCUGGCUGAUUUUUGUAUUUUUAGUAGAGAUGGGGUUUUACCAUAUUGGUCAGGCUGGUCUCAAAUUCCUGACGUCAGGUGACCCACCUGCCUUGGCCUCUCAAAAUGUUGGGAUUACAGGUGUUAGCCACUGUGCCUGGCCUGUAUUGUAUUUUAAUAGGUGAUUAUUGGUUUUCAUAUUAAGAUAGUGAAAUCUAGCGCAAGGAUCUCAAAAAUUUGUUUGAUGAUUGAAGGAAUAUUCUGAAAAUUACCUAGUAUAGAUGUUAGGAUAAAGAGCAGACCCUUUUCAAUAUAGGUGAGAGGAGAAGUUGGAGGGUGUGAUGAUACUCAAAAGUUUUUCACUGAAGAGAAAUUGGGGCGUGCAGUAAACAUGUAAAAAGAUUCUUACUAAUAAGCAGGUGGAUGCAAAUGAAAAUCAUCAUGGAAGGUUAUUUUUAAAACUGAUUGUAUCAUUGCCUCACUUUAUAUAUUACAGAGUUAUACAUACUACUUUGUAAGAUAACUUUUCUUUUCAAAACUGAAGUCAAUGUGAUAGAAUGGUGAGCAUUAUUUUGGAAGGCCAGACUAGGAGGAGGUGGGAGGAAGAAGUCAGACUCAGCCUGUGAACAGACGCUAACCUUGGCAGAAGCCAAAACAGUCAGACAGUGUUGUGUAAAAAUGAUCAUUCAAGAAGAGCGAAACAGCAAGGUGAUUUGUGAAAGAGAUUUAUUAGAAAAUGAAACACAUUUAUACCUCUGUUCAAUAAAAAUCUGCUUUUCGUCAA